UGGCUCAGAACAACGCUGGCGGCAUGCCUAACACAUGCAAGUCGAACGAGACCUUCGGGUCUAGUGGCGCACGGGUGCGUAACACGUGGGAAUUUGCCUCGGGGUAUGGAAUAACUCAGGGAAACUUGAGCUAAUACCAUAUAAUGUCUUCGGACCAAAGAUUUAUCGCCCUGAGAUAAGCCCGCGUAGGAUUAGCUAGUUGGUGGGGUAAAGGCUCACCAAGGCGACGAUCCUUAGCUGGUCUGAGAGGAUGAUCAGCCACACUGGGACUGAGACACGGCCCAGACUCCUACGGGAGGCAGCAGUGGGGAAUAUUGGACAAUGGGCGAAAGCCUGAUCCAGCAAUGCCGCGUGAGUGAUGAAGGCCUUCGGGUUGUAAAGCUCUUUUACUCGGGACGAUAAUGACGGUACCGAGAGAAUAAGCCCCGGCUAACUCCGUG
rnacentral:rRNA from 1 species